rnacentral:rRNA from 1 species
CAGCACCUCAAGUGGUCAGGAUGAUUAUUGGGCCUAAAGCAUCCGUAGCCGGCUCUGUAAGUUUUCGGUUAAAUCUGUACGCUCAACGUACAGGCUGCCGGGAAUACUGCAGAGCUAGGGAGUGGGAGAGGUAGACGGUACUCGGUAGGAAGGGGUAAAAUCCUUUGAUCUAUUGAUGACCACCUGUGGCGAAGGCGGUCUACCAGAACACGUCCGACGGUGAGGGAUGAAAGCUGGGGGAGCAGACCGGAUUAGAUACCCGAGUAGUCC